AUUGAACGCUGGCGGAAUGCUUUACACAUGCAAGUCGAACGGCAGCACGGGGCAACCUGGUGGCGAGUGGCGAACGGGUGAGUAAUACAUCGGAACGUGCCCAGUCGUGGGGGAUAACGUAGCGAAAGCUACGCUAAUACCGCAUACGAUCUACGGAUGAAAGCGGGGGACUCGCAAGAGCCUCGCGCGAUUGGAGCGGCCGAUGGCAGAUUAGGUAGUUGGUGGGGUAAAGGCUCACCAAGCCUGCGAUCUGUAGCUGGUCUGAGAGGACGACCAGCCACACUGGAACUGAGACACGGUCCAGACUCCUACGGGAGGCAGCAGUGGGGAAUUUUGGACAAUGGGCGCAAGCCUGAUCCAGCCAUUCCGCGUGCAGGAUGAAGGCC
rnacentral:rRNA from 1 species